UGGGGAAUAUUGCACAAUGGGCGCAAGCCUGAUCCAGCCAUGCCGCGUGUAUGAAGAAGGCCUUCGGGUUGUAAAGUACUUUCAGCGGGGAGGAAGGGAGUAAAGUUAAUACCUUUGCUCAUUGACGUUACCCGCAGAAGAAGCACCGGCUAACUCCGUGCCAGCAGCCGCGGUAAUACGGAGGGUGCAAGCGUUAAUCGGAAUUACUGGGCGUAAAGCGCACGCACGCGGGUUGUUAAGUCAGAUGUGAAAUCCCCGGGCUCAACCUGGGAACUGCAUCUGAUACUGGUAAGCUUGAGUCUCGUAGGGGGGGGUAGAAUUCCAGGUGUAGCGGUGAAAUGCGUAGAGAUCUGGAGGAAUACCGGUGGCGAAGGCGGCCCCCUGGACGAAGACUGACGCUCAGGUGCGAAAGCGUGGGGAGCAAACAGG
rnacentral:rRNA from 1 species